rnacentral:rRNA from 1 species
AUUGAACGCUGGCGGCAGGCCUAACACAUGCCAGUCGAACGAGUGGCGGACGGGUGAGUAAUGUCUGGGAAACUGCCUGAUGGAGGGGGAUAACUACUGCCAACGGUAGCUAAUACCGCCUACCAUCGGAUGUGCCCAGAGGGGAUUAGCUAGUAGGUGGGGAAAAGGCUCACCUAGGCGACGAUCCCUAGCUGGGCUGAGAGGAUGACGAGGCACACUGGAGAAGAGACACGGUCCGGUGUCCGGAGGGAGGCAGCAGAUGGGAAUAUUGCAAAAGGGGCGCAAGGCUGAUGCAUCGAGGCCGAGUGUAUGAAGAAGGCCUUGGGGUUGUAAAGUACGUUCAGCGGGGAGACGUUACCCGCAGAAGAAGCACCGGCAAACGCCGUGCGAGCAGCCGCGGUAAUAC